GCAACUGACUACACUGCCACA
rnacentral:miRNA from 1 species